rnacentral:rRNA from 1 species
UACGGAGGGUGCGAGCGUUGUCCGGAAUCACUGGGCGUAAAGGGCGCGUAGGCGGCCUGAUAAGUAGGGGGUGAAAUCCUGCGGCUUAACCGCAGGGCUGCCUUCUAAACUGUCGGGCUAGAGCACGGUAGAGGCAGAUGGAAUUCCCGGUGUAGCGGUGGAAUGCGUAGAGAUCGGGAAGAACAUCAGGGGCGAAGGCGGUCUGCUGGGCCGUUGCUGACGCUGAGGCGCGACAGCGUGGGGAGCAAACAGG